GGGUGGUAAUGCCGGAUGCUCCGCUCCAUCGCAUGGUGGGGUGGGAAAUGCUUUUGCGGCAUGGGAUGGGGUCGCGUCCUAUCAGCUUGUUGGCGGGGUGAUGGCCCACCAAGGCGUUGACGGGUAGCCGGCCUGAGAGGGUGACCGGCCACAUUGGGACUGAGAUACGGCCCAGACUCCUACGGGAGGCAGCAGUGGGGAAUAUUGCACAAUGGGCGCAAGCCUGGUGCAGCGACGCCGCGUGCGGGAUGGAGGCCUUCGGGUUGUAAACCGCUUUUGUUCAAGGGCAAGGCACGGUUUCGGCCGUGUUGAGUGGAUUGUUCGAAUAAGCACCGGCUAACUACGUGCCAGCAGCCGCGGUAAU
rnacentral:rRNA from 1 species